rnacentral:misc_RNA from 1 species
GAUGAAGAACGUAGCGAAAUGCGAUAAGUAAUGUGAAUUGCAGAAUUCAGUGAAUCAUCGAAUCUUUGAACGCACAUUGCGCCCGCCAGCACUCUGGCGGGCAUGCCUGUUCGAGCGUCAUUUCAACCAUCAAGCCCCCAGGGGCUUGUGCUGGGGCCCUGCGGCUGCCCGCAGGCCCUGAAAACCAGUGGCGGGCUCGCUAGUCACACCGAGCGCAGUAGCACAUCUCGCUCAGGGCGUGCGGCGGGCUCCUGCCGUGAAACCCCCCACUGUAACCCCAAAGGUUGACCUCGGAUCAGGUAGGAAUACCCGCUGAACUUAAGCAUAUCAAUAAGCGGAGA